rnacentral:rRNA from 1 species
AUUGAACGCUGGCGGCAGGCCUAACACAUGCAAGUCGAGCGGAUGAAGGGAGCUUGCUCCUGGAUUCAGCGGCGGACGGGUGAGUAAUGCCUAGGAAUCUGCCUGGUAGUGGGGGAUACGGUCGGGAAAGGGCGGCUAAUACCCCUACGUUCCGAGGGGGGAAGGGGGGGGAUCUUGGAACCCACGCCUUUCGAUGGGGCUAGGUCGGAUUAGCUAGUUGGUGGGGUAAAGGCCUACCAAGGCGACGAUCCGUAACUGGUCUGAGAGGAUGAUCAGUCACACUGGAACUGAGACACGGUCCAGACUCCUACGGGAGGCAGCAGUGGGGAAUAUUGGACAAAGGGCGAAAGCCUGAUCCAGCCAUGCCGCGUGUGUGAAGAAGGUCUUCGGAUUGUAAAGCACUUUAAGUUGGGAGGAAGGGCAGUAAGUUAAUACCUUGCUGUUUUGACGUUACCAACAGAAUAAGCACCGGCUAACUUCGUG